rnacentral:misc_RNA from 1 species
AAAGUCGUAACAAGGUAACCGUAGGUGAACCUGCGGUUGGAUCAUUACAGAAAAAGAUCCGGCUUCGGCCGAACUGCAAACUAUCGAAAGAUAGUAUUGUGGAAUCUAAAAAACCCUUUGUGAACUGUCCUGUCUCUGGCGGCCGGAUGAGGAUGACGUAUAUCGUUGUUCGCUUCUGUCAGCUUGAUUUAUUUCAAGCCGUGGACAAACCGCCAACCAACUUAUUAACCUAGAAUUACCAUUUUUGUCUAACAAUACUUUGUAAAAAUAUACAAACAACUUUUGGCAACGGAUCUCUUGGCUCUC